rnacentral:ncRNA from 1 species
CAGAGGUGUCGUCCGUUUUGGGCGGUGAAAAGGGAAUCCGGUGCAAGUCCGGAACGAUACAGUCACUGUGAUGGGGAGCUUUCUUGCAGUCCCGGCAAGGUCCUGCCGGGGGUGAGACCCACUGGGAAACUGGGAAGGGAAGAAAGCGGUGAACCGAGUCAGGAGACCUGCCUUUGUGU